AUUGAACGCUGGCGGCAGGCUUAACACAUGCAAGUCGAGCGGAGAGAGGUAGCUUGCUACUGAUCUUAGCGGCGGACGGGUGAGUAAUGCUUAGGAAUCUGCCUAUUAGUGGGGGACAACAUUUCGAAAGGAAUGCUAAUACCGCAUACGUCCUACGGGAGAAAGCAGGGGAUCUUCGGACCUUGCGCUAAUAGAUGAGCCUAAGUCGGAUUAGCUAGUUGGUGGGGUAAAGGCCUACCAAGGCGACGAUCUGUAGCGGGUCUGAGAGGAUGGACCGCCACACUGGGACUGGGAGACGGCCCAGACUCCUACGGGAGGCAGCAGUGGGGAAUGUUGGACAAUGGGCGGAAGCCUGAUCCAGCCAUGCCGCGUGUGUGAAGAAGGCCUUAUGGCUGUAAAGCACUUUAAGCGAGGAGGAGGCUACUUUAGUUAAUACCUAGAGAUAGUGGACGUUACUCGCAGAAUAAGCACCGGCUAACUCUGUGCCAGCAGCCGCCGUAAUAC
rnacentral:rRNA from 1 species